rnacentral:lncRNA from 1 species
GUCUUGGAGCUGAAUACACUCCUCCGUAUCGUGGCCAUGGUCACGAUGAUAGAGGCAGAACUUGUUAGGGUUGCACUUCUCGGGGUGUGUGCGCAUCCUUUCUGGCCUUGACAGCUGCUCCCUAACCUCCAUUAGCACUUGGGCUUUUGGAGCAUUGAGAGGGGCGUAGCUAUGGAAUCUUCCUAGGGGAGAGCUCUGUCGAACUCUACGGUUCGAGCUCC